AAAAAAAAACUUAAAAAAAAAGAAAAGAAACCAAAGUCACAUUCUUUGUUAUGCACAAAUCCCUUUUAUGUGCACGCACCAAUUCAAUGACAUAUUAGCAGUAUGAUAGAUGUCAGUUAGGCAUUAAAAUUUGGAAGGGACCUUAUAGAUAAUUCACUUCAAUUUCCUGUCAAUCUACAGAUGGGCGAAGUGACUUUCCAAAAGUCACUUAGAAAACUGGCAGCCUAGGACCAGAACCCAAUUUUAUUAAUCUCUGUAGUGCAUCUGACAUCGCUUCCUCUCACUUUUGGCUUCACUUUUCCUCUCACUUUUGGCUAAUAUGCUUCUUUGUUCUAACUCACGCAGCAAACGUUCGUUCGCUUAGUCUCAGUGAUGUACAAGGCACCAUCCUAGGCUUGGAGGAUACAACCACGAGGUUACAGUUUACGGAGGAGACAGAUGGUAGAUGAUCAUUGAAAUGACAAUUAGCGCUGCUGGUUUGGAAGUGCCAUUUGCUGAGAGGAGAACAUUUGAGAGGGGACACAUUUCGGGAGGAAGAGCAAAAGUUUUAAGUUGGGACAUGUUAGGUUUGUAGUGCCUAGGAGAUGUGCAGAGAAGAAUAUUUGGUGGCUGUCAAUGGAGGUCUGGGGCUCAGCAGAAUAAUAUGAGUUGGAAUCGAGCCUUGAGAAUGAGUGGCAUUUUAGAACAGAUGAAGUCAUAAAGAGGUUCAGGGAAAAGACAAGAUGGCCAAAGACCAAGCCCUGAGGAACUCCAACAUUAGAGGUCAGGCAGAGGAGAACAGGCUGCCAAAGGAGAAGCCAGAGAGCUAACAGGAAAAUCAGGAGAAUGUGGAGUUCUGGAACCCUAAAGAAAAGAAUGUUCCAAAAAGGGAUGGCAAACUCUGUUCAACGCUGUGGAGGGAUGAAGCAAGACUGGACUGAGAAGUGUUCAUGAGAUUAAGUAACGUGGAGGCCAUCGGUGACUUUGCAAGAGCGCUUGCAGUGACUGCUUUGCUUGUGGUGGGCUGAGGGUAAGUAAAAAAGAAAAAGGUAAAAAAAAAAAAAAAAAAAAAAAAAAAAAAAAGGAGGCAGUGGAGAUAACCAAAGUGGCCAAAGCUCUGGGAAUCUUGACUUGGAAGGGGUGGGAUGGAAAGGUGGAGCUACCUAUGGUGAGAGGAAAAUCUGAAGUCAAGGUAUUUGCGUUGUGUUAGGAGCUACUGGAACUUCUGUAGAUGAUAACGGGAAGGAGGGGGACUGGGGGAGGUGAAGGAUACAGAAGGGUUGGGGAAUGGCCAAUGGUGACCAGUUUCUCUGAGAAAGCGGGAGCCCUGGAGCACAUGUGGAGAACCCGGCUCUCACGGGGCAUGGGCCGCUUCCUCCGUCCUCUGUCUCUCCUUUUUCAGGCUUCUCCUCGGUCCUCCAGGCCUCCAUGAACAUUGUUUCUCUCAGGAUCCCAGUCUCAGCCUCCUUUUCCCACUGGUGCCUUCCUCCAUUACUGUGACUGUCCUUGAAUUGCUUAUACCUCUCAAAUCUCCAGGCUUGAGUAUGGCAGAACCUUGCUCAGGAGCCCGAGAAUGGACAACUCUCCAGGACUACGGUGCCCUCUCCUCCACCCCAUUUACAAAAGUAAUGGAGCAGGGAUCCCAUCAGUCAUCCCGCGGCGUCCUGGUCCAGAUGGACAAAGUUUCCAUCUCUUUCGUACGCCUGCUCUCUACCUGGCUAUCCCUUGGGGUCAGUCUCAAAGUCCUUGGCUAUCCUCUCCCAAAUCUUAAAGUUGCGGUGUCUGCCCCUUUAAAUCAGCAGCCCCCGGUCAGGUUAUUGUCUAGCCUUGUAGCCAAUCGGCGGCGCCAUUGGGGGCGGGGGAUCCGGCCUCCUGAUUGGCCACCGCGCGCCCCGCCCCGCCCGGGAUCCCGGGAGCUGUCCGGCCGCCUCGGUGCUGAUCCCGCCGCCGCCCACGGGCCGUGAGCAACGCUGAGAGGGCAUUAUGAGCGGGGGCGUCUACGGCGGAGAUGAGGUGGGAGCGCUGGUCUUUGACAUUGGCUCCUUCUCAGUCCGCGCUGGGUACGCUGGGGAGGACUGCCCCAAGGCUGACUUCCCCACCACGGUGGGGCUGCUGGCCGCGGAGGAGGGGGGCGGGCUGGAGUUGGAGGGGGAGAAAGAGAAGAAAGGGAAGAUCUUCCACAUCGACACCAACGCCCUGCAUGUGCCUCGGGAUGGAGCAGAGGUCAUGUCGCCCCUCAAGAAUGGCAUGAUUGAGGACUGGGAAUGCUUCCGUGCCAUUUUGGAUCAUACCUACAGUAAACACGUCAAGUCUGAGCCCAACCUGCACCCAGUGCUCAUGUCCGAGGCCCCGUGGAACACACGGGCCAAGCGGGAGAAGCUGACAGAGCUGAUGUUCGAGCAGUACAACAUUCCUGCCUUCUUCUUAUGCAAGACGGCUGUGCUCACCGCCUUUGCAAACGGACGUUCCACGGGCCUGGUCCUGGACAGUGGGGCCACCCACACCACAGCCAUCCCAGUACAUGAUGGCUACGUCCUGCAACAAGGCAUCGUCAAGUCACCCCUGGCAGGGGACUUCAUCUCCAUGCAGUGCCGGGAGCUCUUCCAGGAAAUGGCCAUUGACAUUAUCCCACCUUACAUGAUUGCAGCAAAGGAACCCGUCCGGGAGGGCGCCCCUCCGAACUGGAGGAAGAAGGAGAAGCUACCCCAGGUUUCCAAGUCCUGGCACAACUACAUGUGCAACGAGGUGAUUCAGGACUUCCAGGCCUCUGUGCUGCAGGUCUCAGACUCUCCCUAUGACGAGCAGGUGGCUGCACAGAUGCCCACAGUGCACUACGAGAUGCCCAACGGCUACAACACAGACUACGGUGCCGAGAGGCUCCGCAUUCCAGAGGGCCUGUUUGAUCCCUCCAACGUCAAGGGCCUGUCGGGGAACACCAUGCUGGGUGUGGGCCACGUGGUGACCACCAGCAUCGGCAUGUGUGACAUCGACAUCCGCCCGGGCCUGUACGGCAGUGUCAUUGUCACUGGUGGGAACACGCUGCUCCAGGGCUUCACGGACAGGCUCAAUCGCGAGCUUUCCCAGAAGACCCCGCCGCCCCUCUUUCCCCGCAGAGCAUGCGGCUGAAACUCAUCGCCAGCAACAGCACCAUGGAGCGCAAGUUCAGUCCCUGGAUCGGGGGCUCCAUUUUGGCCUCACUGGGCACUUUCCAGCAGAUGUGGAUCUCCAAGCAGGAAUAUGAGGAGGGAGGGAAGCAGUGCGUGGAGCGGAAGUGCCCCUGAGGGCGCCCCCUCAACACCCACACGUCCGCCCGCCGCCCGCCGCCCGCCGAGGUGGGGUAGGGGACGCCACAGGCGGCGAGAGGGUUUCCCGGCUCGGCCUCCGCCGGCGCAGAUCAAAACCCCCACCCGCCCAUGCCCUCGUCUCUACCCCUCCCUUCUCGUCCGCUUAGAUUGUGAUGUUUCUGGGUUGAAAGGAGUAAAAAUGUUUUAAGAA